UCUCUAUUGACAAGACAUGCAGAAACAUGAGAGAACAACACUAUGAGGAGGGAACUCUCAUCAUUCUCAUUUUAAUGAAGAAGAAAAUGAGGCACAGAAAGGCUUACAAAAUCAAUGACAAGAAUACAAAAUCAGUCCUCCUUCUGAAAGGGUUAGUAGGUUAUUUGUGAAUAUCCAUUGGUAGAUCUUGGUAAUCUUCUCUAAUUAAACUAUAUCACACUGUACAUCUUUUAAAUUGUUAUAUGUUUUCUGGUUUCCUGGUCAACAAAAAAGAGAUACUGAUCUACACCUAAAGAACUAAAGAACACAAUGCAUUACCAUUGCUGGGGAAUGUCAUUGGUAAUA